CACACAGACACACACACACACACACACACAGCACCCACUACAAAAUACAGGACUCUGCACAGCUGACAAAACCACGGACACAAGCCUGAGUGACCAGACAGCCAACGAGAUAUGAGCUAUUCAAGACGGAGCCACACAACCACAUGGGCUGAGAACCACGGGCUGGACUCACAAGGCCACGGCCUGGACUCAUGAGGCCACGGCCGGGAUUCCCUCCAGCCCCAAGGCUGACCCUGGUCAUGUCACAGAGGGGCUGAGGGCAGGAGGUGGGGAGCAAGGAUGUACCCAUCAAAGCCACUGGACUCACAAGGUCAAGUGGCACAAUGCAGCUGCUCUGUUGCUCUUUCCCGUCCCAUCUGCCCCUGGGGGCUGAACCACUCAGGAACGGGCCUCAAGGCUCCGGUUCUUGGUGACGCCAGGGAAGCUGGGUGGCUCUGACCUUCUGGACACCUGGAAAGGGGUCAGGUCAGAGAUGGUGAUGACCGACAGGAGGUUCCACCAACUGCUGGCCACCCCCUUCCCUGGAGCACGCUGCACCCUUAACGAUUUGACCGAUGCUCAAUGAGUCCUGAAUCAUGAACCGACCCAAACAAGGGGACUCCUUACCAAUGCAAGUUCAUUGGCUAGUCCAAGCUGGCUGCUGGGCAAUUCUGCGGAAGGUGCAGCCAGUGUAAGUGGCUGCAAAGUUCAAAACACACUAAGAAGUUCAGGAGCUGUUUGUUGGCCAUAAAAUCACCCGCCACACCCCCAGGUUCAAUACUCAUUGGCUCAAGCCCUCCUGCCUUCUCUCAACCUGACCUUGCUGCCUGGAGCACCUAUCAAAGUCAUCUCACACUUCCCCCAGGACAAAUAAAAAAUAAAACCCACAGCAUCAAAUUCUCCUACUCAAAGGAAGAAUUUCUGGGCUCCCAA